AGUUACCCAUGGCCAACCCUCCACAGGAACCAGAUGAUCCUCCUCCUGACGAGUUGUAAGAAGGUCAAUAGUUGGCUGAUGCUCUGUCACAAUGCCGGCAUCAUGCCCCUCACUUCAUCUCAUGAUGUAGCAUUUUAUCAGCUCACAUCACCACAACAAGAAGGCUAUAUGCAUGCCUCCACCAGCAGCAGCCAUUUUCAUCCUCUGAACCCUAAAUCUUGGGUGACCUCAGCUGUUACUCAAACGUCUCAUUCCUCUAUGGCUUAUCAGAAUUCAAGACUCUGUGGUAACUGACCUGUUAUGGACCUGUGGACACGAAAUGGUUAAAACAGUAAACCUAGA